rnacentral:misc_RNA from 1 species
GCCAGUGUGAAGAACUUCCAGAUUAUUCAUGAGUCCGACCUUGAAUAUAUUAUCAUGCAGUUUGGUAGAGUUGCUGAGGAUAUAUUCACAAUGGAUUACAGGUAUCCUAUGUGUGCACUGCAGGCCUUUGGAGUUGCUUUAUCAAGCUUUGACAGCAAACUAGCCUGCGAAUAAUAUUGAACUUAUCUUGUAAAAAAAAUUAUUUUAAAUUUUGAAGAAACUUUAGUUGAGCACAAAUGUACCUUGUCGUAUCCUUUCGCACUAAUUCAUAAACUAAAAUAAACAUAUCAUAUAGAUUCUCAACUUAAACAAAUGUGCAAUUUUGUCAUUAUAUAUAUUCACAAAUGCUAAUGUUUCUACAUUUGAAAUCAGAAUCAGAAAUUCUCCUAAACAUAAAAAUGUUCUGCCCCCAACAAGUACUUGUGAUAUUAGCUUAUGUAAAAUGUUUUAAACGAAUCUCCUAAAGAAACUGAUGACUCUUCUCAUACUCUAAUUGUCUAAUCAAAAUAUCUUAACAACAUGGAUCUAAAUCAGAUGAAUAGCUAGAAUAAAACAUUUGCGUGCAAAGUGCGGAAUUUGUUCGUAUCUUUCAAUGUUUAUAUUUUCUCAAACACACGUGCAUAACGGAAAUGUUUUCAUUCCGAUGGAAACCCUUAUGUCGGUUCAAGACUAAAACCAGUAUUUCAACUUAGAAUAUAUAUGCAUAUUUCAACUACUUAAUUCGCUUUUAAUUAGAUUUUGUCCCCGGUGUCCUAGAUCUAAUAUUUAUAUUAAACAUCUAGAUCAAUUUGUCAAUGUUUUGGAUAUUAAAGGUUUUUACCUUCAA